AGCCCCCCCCUCCCCCCCCCCCCAGGCCACCGGGCACUUCUGGAGCCCAGGCUGGGGGCUGCACCUGUUCAGGAGGAGGCUGGAAACUUGGGCCUGCCCUCAGGCGGCGCUCACUCAAGCCCAGCGUCAGUGCUGCGCGGCCCGAGGGAUGGGCGCGCCAGCCCAAGGAACCGAGUUUUCUCCUGCGAGCCAGGACACGUUGGCGCCAGAAAGCCGAUUCGCCGAAACCCUCAGCACCGGGAAGCCACUGGAACGAUGGGGUAGAAAAGAUCGCGAUCUCCACUUCGCACGGGUAUUGACCACAUCGGGGAAACGUGUUUCACGUCCGCGGGCACGUCUCCUGGGUUGUCGAGUACAAUGCGCUUCUGGUGCCAGGGAUUUUCAAGAUGGAAAGCCUCUGCGGAGAGGUUGGCAGUAAACCUAGAACUGGUAGGGAUAGAGCGCGGAAAGGGACAGGACUCCACAGGCGGAUUUGAAAGGGAGCAACAACUGAGCCAGAGGACAGCACUGCCAUAUGCCCGGUUGAGGUCUGCUGUUGUCACCACCUUACCCUAAACAAUUUGGUGGCAGAGGCCAGAGCAAAGGGCACUUCUGACAGCUUUGGGGACACCAAGAAACAGGCAUAAAACUCUGCAAACACUGAGUUUACUGUCUUUCUCACCAUUUCCAAGGGCCAUGGGUACCUCUGUGAAAAAGGAAGAGAGAUCCACAUCACCCAUAAUGCCUGAACUGAAAAGUAGGAAUACAAGCGUUUAUAUUUAUAGAGGUGAGCCAAAGAACCUAGAAGGAAGAAGGAAAAAUUUUCUUCCCCUGCACAUGGCACUUGAAGCCCUAAGUCAUGUGGCUCCUGCUUGCCUUCAGUGUCCUCUCCAGACCUUCUCUGCUUUUCCCCUUUAUGCCUGGCUUUCUCCCAUUUAACCAUCAGGACUCACUACAGGCUCCACUUUCUUGGGGGGAAGCAAGUCUUUUCUGACCCCAACAGGUACAGGUAAGUGC